UUCCUCCAGACAUGGUGUGACCAGAGGCCUUCAUGGAGAAGAGUUGUGGGUGACCUGUGGAGUAUCUGGCCACAGACACAUUAGCAAGCUAUACCUGGAGAGAUCUCUAAGGGACCUUUCGUUGGAAGGUCCCAAGAGCUGAGAUGGGUGGAUCCUGAACUGCAAGAAGACAAAGGAUGUAUAUUGCUCUCGACCAGCAAGAACGACACAACACAGUCGGAUUCUUCUCAACAGCCUUUAUUGCAGGAUCGCCUUGAUGCUUCUACGGGGACCCCAGGCGCCCAGGGAGCCCUGCUUAUAUGUACCCCAGCACAGGAGAAGGCUCCGUGGCCCCCUGGGGUUGGUCAGUCUGCCAGCACCCAAUUUGCAUGCACCCGCUUGGGAGGGGUUGGCCCCAAAUUCGAAUUGACGCCUGCGCAGUGGUGUUGUUUAUGACAACGGCAACCGGAAACCGGCGCCAUCUUGGAGUUGGCUUCCCACAGAGAGGAGAGGGAGAGGAGAGGGAGAGGAGAGGAAGAGGAAGAGGAAGAGGAAGAGGAAGAGGAAGAGGAAGAGGAAGAG
rnacentral:lncRNA from 1 species